rnacentral:rRNA from 1 species
AACGAACGCUGGCGGCAUGCCUAACACAUGCAAGUCGAACGAAGCCUUCGGGCUUAGUGGCGCACGGGUGCGUAACACGUGGGAAUCUGCCCUUCGGUUCGGAAUAACAGUUAGAAAUGACUGCUAAUACCGGAUGAUGACGUAAGUCCAAAGAUUUAUCGCCGAAGGAUGAGCCCGCGUAGGAUUAGGUAGUUGGUAGGGUAAUGGCCUACCAAGCCGACGAUCCUUAGCUGGUCUGAGAGGAUGAUCAGCCACACUGGGACUGAGACACGGCCCAGACUCCUACGGGAGGCAGCAGUGGGGAAUAUUGGACAAUGGGCGAAAGCCUGAUCCAGCAAUGCCGCGUGAGUGAUGAAGGCCUUAGGGUUGUAAAGCUCUUUUACCAGGGAUGAUAAUGACAGUACCUGGAGAAUAAGCUCCGGCUAACUCCGUGCCAGCAGCCGCGGUAAUGUAU